rnacentral:rRNA from 1 species
GAUGAACGCUGGCGGCGUGCCUAAUACAUGCAAGUCGAGCGAACGGACGAGAAGCUUGCUUCUCUGAUGUUAGCGGCGGACGGGUGAGUAACACGUGGAUAACCUACCUAUAAGACUGGGAUAACUUCGGGAAACCGGAGCUAAUACCGGAUAAUAUUUUGAACCGCAUGGCUCAAAAGUGAAAGACGGUCUUGCUGUCACUUAUAGAUGGAUCCGCGCUGCAUUAGCUAGUUGGUAAGGUAACGGCUUACCAAGGCAACGAUGCAUAGCCGACCUGAGAGGGUGAUCGGCCACACUGGAACUGAGACACGGUCCAGACUCCUACGGGAGGCAGCAGUAGGGAAUCUUCCGCAAUGGGCGAAAGCCUGACGGAGCAACGCCGCGUGAGUGAUGAAGGUCUUCGGAUCGUAAAACUCUGUUAUUAGGGAAGAACAUAUGUGUAAGUAACUGUGCACAUCUUGACGGUACCUAAUCAGAAAGCCACGGCUAACUACGUGCCAGCAGCCGCGGUAAUACGUAGGUGGCAAGCGUUAUCCGGAAUUAUUGGGCGUAAAGCGCGCGUAGGCGGUUUUUUAAGUCUGAUGUGAAAGCCCACGGGCUCACCGUGGAGGGUCAUUGGAAACUGGAAAACUUGAGUGCAGAAGAGGAAAGUGGAAUUCCAUGUGUAGCGGUGAAAUGCGCAGAGAUAUGGAGGAACACCAGUGGCGAAGGCGACUUUCUGGUCUGUAACUGACGCUGAUGUGCGAAAGCGUGGGGAUCAAACAGGAUUAGAUACCCUGGUAGUCCACGCCGUAAACGAUGAGUGCUAAGUGUUAGGGGGUUUCCGCCCCUUAGUGCUGCAGCUAACGCAUUAAGCACUCCGCCUGGGGAGUACGACCGCAAGGUUGAGACUCAAAGGAAUUGACGGGGACCCGCACAAGCGGUGGAGCAUGUGGUUUAAUUCGAAGCAACGCGAAGAACCUUACCAAAUCUUGACAUCCUUUGACAACUCUAGAGAUAGAGCCUUCCCCUUCAGGGGGCAAGGUGACAGGUGGUGCAUGGUUGUCGUCAGCUCGUGUCGUGAGAUGUUGGGUUAAGUCCCGCAACGAGCGCAACCCUUAAGCUUAGUUGCCAUCAUUAAGUUGGGCACUCUAAGUUGACUGCCGGUGACAAACCGGAGGAAGGUGGGGAUGACGUCAAAUCAUCAUGCCCCUUAUGAUUUGGGCUACACACGUGCUACAAUGGACAAUACAAAGGGCAGCGAAACCGCGAGGUCAAGCAAAUCCCAUAAAGUUGUUCUCAGUUCGGAUUGUAGUCUGCAACUCGACUACAUGAAGCUGGAACCGCUAGUAAUCGUAGAUCAGCAUGCUACGGUGAAUACGUUCCCGGGUCU